rnacentral:rRNA from 1 species
GAUGAACGCUGGCGGCGUGCCUAAUACAUGCAAGUCGAGCGAACAGACGAGGAGCUUGCUCCUCUGACGUUAGCGGCGGACGGGUGAGUAACACGUGGAUAACCUACCUAUAAGACUGGGAUAACUUCUGGAAACCGGAGCUAAUACCGGAUAAUAUAUUGAACCGCAUGGUUCAAUAGUGAAAGACGGUUUUGCUGUCACUUAUAGAUGGAUCCGCGCCGCAUUAGCUAGUUGGUAAGGUAACGGCUUACCAAGGCAACGAUGCGUAGCCGACCUGAGAGGGUGAUCGGACACACUGGAACUGAGACACGGUCAAGACUCCUACGGGAGGCAGCAGUAGGGAAUCUUCCGCAAUGGGCGAAAGCUUGACGGAGCAACGCCGCGUGAGUGAUGAAGGUCUUCGGAUCGUAAAACUCUGUUAUUAGGGAAGAACAAAUGUGUAAGUAACUAUGCACGUCUUGACGGUACCUAAUCAGAAAGCCACGGCUAACUACGUG